rnacentral:rRNA from 1 species
UAUUUUGACUAUACAAAGGUAUUGAAAUAAGAUUUUAAUUGAAUGCUAAGAGAAUGGAUUAACAAAAAAAUUCUUUUUUAAUUUUAAAAAUAAAAAUUAAUUUUUUUUGUGAAGAAGCAAAAAUAAAAAUUAAGGACAAGAAGACCCUAAGAAUUUUUAGUCUAAAAUUUUAGAUCUAAAAUUUUAGACUUUAAUUGGGGCGAUUAAUAAAAAUUUUGAACUUUAUUUUUAAAAUUAAAAUGAACCGUUAUUAGCGGUAAUUUGAAAAAAAUACUCUAGGGAUAACAGCGUAAUAAUUUUUGAUAGUUCUUAUAGACAAAAUAGUUUGCGACCUCGAUGUUGGAUUAGGAUUCUUAUUUAAUGAAGAAGUUAAAUAAAGAAGUUUGUUCAACUUUUAAAAUCC